rnacentral:misc_RNA from 1 species
GUUCGAGCGUCAUUUCAACCCUCAAGCUAAGCUUGGUAUUGAGUCUAUGUCAGUAAUGGCAGUCUCUAAAAUCAGUGGCGGCGCCGCUGGGUCCUGAACGUAGUAAUAUCUCUCGUUACAGGUUCUCGGUGUGCUUCUGCCAAAACCCAAAUUUUUCUAUGGUUGACCUCGGAUCAGGUAGGGAUACCCGCUGAACUUAA